AAGUCGUAACAAGGUUUCCGUAGGUGAACCUGCGGAAGGAUCAUUAGUUUAUGUGGUAACCCGCAAGGGCAUAUCCAUGUUCGGGUCUCGCCGUAAAACGCGAGGCUGUCUGAAAACCCUUGAAUAUAAAACUUUGUUGCUUUGGCGGGCCGCCUCUCGAGGCGUCGGCUCACGCUGACCGUGCCCGCCAGAGGCCCAAAACUCUACUGUCUCUGACGUCUGAGUACUAUAUAAUAGUUAAAACUUUCAACAACGGAUCUCUUGGUUCUGGCAUCGAUGAAGAACGCAGCGAAAUGCGAUAAGUAAUGUGAAUUGCAGAAUUCAGUGAAUCAUCGAAUCUUUGAACGCACAUUGCGCCCCCUGGUAUUCCGGGGGGCAUGCCUGUUCGAGCGUCAUUAUGACCAAUCCCGCAAGGGGUCUUGGGGUCCGCGGUCCGCUGCGGCCCUUAAAAUCAGUGGCGGCGCCGCCGGUGCUCUCAGCGUAGUAAUACUCCUCGCUCGGGAACCACGGUGGAUGCUCGCCAGUAACCCCACUUAUAACUAGGUUGACCUCGGAUCAGGUAGGGAUACCCGCUGAACUUAAGCAUAUCAAUAAGCGGAGGAAAAGAAACCAACAGGGAUUACCUCAGUAACGGCGAGUGAAGCGGUAACAGCUCAAAUUUGAAAUCUGGCUCUUUCAGGGCCCGAGUUGUAAUUUGUAGAAGAUGCUUUGGGCGUGGCUCCGGUCUAAGUUCCUUGGAACAGGACGUCAUAGAGGGUGAGAAUCCCGUACGUGACUGGGGUGCCUUCGUCCGUGUAAAGCUCUUUCGACGAGUCGAGUUGUUUGGGAAUGCAGCUCAAAAUGGGUGGUAAAUUUCAUCUAAAGCUAAAUAUUGGCCAGAGACCGAUAGCGCACAAGUAGAGUGAUCGAGAGAUGAAAAGCACUUUGGAAAGAGAGUUAAACAGUACGUGAAAUUGUUGAAAGGGAAGCGCUUGCAAUCAGACUUGCGUGCGGUUGAUCAUCCGAGGUUUUCCCCGGUGCACUCGAUCGUACUCAGGCCAGCAUCGGUUUGGGCGGUUGGAUAAAGGCCUUGGGAAUGUGGCUCCUCUCGGGGAGUGUUAUAGCCCUCGGUGCAAUGCAGCCUGUCCGGACCGAGGACCGCGCUUCGGCUAGGAUGCUGGCGUAAUGGUUGUAAGCGACC
rnacentral:rRNA from 1 species